CACACAGGCUCGGCACAGGUUUAUUGCACGAACACUGUCUCGUUUACUACCAGGAAAAAAAGCACCUGUGAAAUGCAGGUCACUUGAAACACAAACACCCUAGAUCCAUUUAAGGACUUCUGCUACUUGCCAUACAACAAUGAAUCUCAAGACAGGGCAGAUGCUGAUGUGCCUGGGCAGAGCCAGAAAUGGAUUGCUUUUGGCCAUGAUGUCCAUCACCAGUGUCCUUGAACCUGAGCAGUUCCCAUCCUGUGAGUAA
rnacentral:lncRNA from 1 species